AUACUACUCUCUCCGUCCCAGAAUUCUUGUCUUAGAUUUGUCUAAAUACGAAUGUAGCAAGUCACGUUUUAGUAUUAGAUAAAAAAAAGAUACAUCUGUAUCUAGACAAUUUAAGACAAGAAUUUUGAGACGGAGAGAGUACAUG
rfam:Triticum aestivum genome assembly, contig: Triticum_aestivum_CS42_TGACv1_scaffold_063018_1DL